rfam:Marinobacter sp. AC-23 IonXpress_010_rawlib.basecaller_c45, whole genome shotgun sequence.
CGAGCUCGCCAGACAGUCGCCGCCGGUUUUACCGGGGGAGGAAAGUCCGGGCUCCGCAGGGCAAGGUGCCAGGUAACUCCUGGGCGGCGUGAGCCGACGGAAAGUGCAACAGAAAGUAGACCGCCUAAGUGCUCGUGACUCGUUCGCGAACGCCGGUAAGGGUGAAACGGUGCGGUAAGAGCGCACCGCGUGGCUGGCAACAGUUCACGGCGAUGGUAAACCCCACCUGGAGCAAGACCAAAUAGGAGUCCUAUGGCGUGGCCCGCGCUGGACUCGGGUAGGUUGCUUGAGGCCUGUGGUGACGCAGGCCCUAGAUGAAUGACUGUCCACGACAGAACCCGGCUUAUCGGCGAGCUCACUUU